UACGUAGGGUGCGAGCGUUGUCCGGAAUUAUUGGGCGUAAAGGGCUCGUAGGCGGUUUGUCGCGUCGGGAGUGAAAACCAGGUGCUUAACACCUGGCUUGCUUUCGAUACGGGCAGACUAGAGGUAUUCAGGGGAGAACGGAAUUCCUGGUGUAGCGGUGAAAUGCGCAGAUAUCAGGAGGAACACCGAUGGCGAAGGCAGAUCUCUGGGCCGUAACUGACGCUGAGGAGCGAAAGCAUGGGGAGCGAACAGG
rnacentral:rRNA from 1 species